UACGUAGGGUGCAAGCGUUAAUCGGAAUUACUGGGCGUAAAGCGUGCGCAGGCGGUUAUGUAAGACAGUUGUGAAAUCCCCCGGGCUCAACCUGGGAAUUGCAUCUGUGACUGCAUAGCUAGAGUACGGUAGAGGGGGAUGGAAUUCCGCGUGUAGCAGUGAAAUGCGUAGAUAUGCGGAGGAACACCGAUGGCGAAGGCAAUCCCCUGGACCUGUACUGACGCUCAUGCACGAAAGCGUGGGGAGCAAACAGG
rnacentral:rRNA from 1 species